rnacentral:rRNA from 1 species
UACGAAGGGGGCUAGCGUUGCUCGGAAUUACUGGGCGUAAAGCGCACGUAGGCGGACUCUUAAGUCGGGGGUGAAAGCCCAGGGCUCAACCCUGGAACUGCCUUCGAUACUGGGAGUCUUGAGUGUGGAAGAGGUUGGUGGAACUGCGAGUGUAGAGGUGAAAUUCGUAGAUAUUCGCAAGAACACCAAUGGCGAAGGCAGCUCUCUGGGACGGUACUGACGCUGAGACGCGAAAGCGUGGGGAGCGAACAGG